rnacentral:misc_RNA from 1 species
GCCGCCUUCAAUUUUACCAACAAUUCCAACCUUACUAAAAGCAACAGCGUUCGAACCGGUAAUAGCCGCCAUGAAAGCUCCGGGAGGUCUCCGCACAAAGAAAAUCGCAGAAGCAGAACGAAAACGCGAAAUCGUAGCCAGAAAUGAAAGCAACGAACGGAUUCAGUUCUUAUAGAGAUGAAAGAAUGAGAAAGUGAAUACUUCCUGGCUACGGCUUUGGGAUCUCCGGAGGAAAUGUGUAUGGAAUGGAGUGGUG